CCUACGGGGGGCAGCAGUGAGGAAUAUUGGUCAAUGGGCUUACGCCUGAACCAGCCAAGUCGCGUGAGGGAAGACUGCCCUAUGGGUUGUAAACCUCUUUUGUCAGGGAGCAACGCCGGCUACGUGUAGCCGGACGGAGAGGACCUGAAGAAAAAGCAUCGGCUAACUCCGUGCCAGCAGCCGCGGUAAUACGGAGGAUGCGAGCGUUCUCCGGAUUGAUUGGGUUUAAAGGGUGCGUAGGCGGAAUGCCAAGUCAGCGGUAAAAUCGCGGGGCUCAACCUCGCUCCGCCGUUGAAACUGGCGUUCUUGAGUGGGCGAGAAGUAUGCGGAAUGCGUGGUGUAGCGGUGAACUGCAUAGAUAUCACGCAGAACUCCGAUUGCGAAGGCAGCAUACCGGCGCCCGCCUGACGCUGAAGCACGAAAGCGUGGGUAUCGAACAGGAUUAGCUACCCCAGUAGUC
rnacentral:rRNA from 1 species